rnacentral:rRNA from 1 species
AUGUUGGAUAUUCUCGAAGAAAUACUUGCGAUGAAGGGUAGCCAUUGUUUGCAUGCUUCCUCCCUGUGUAAGAAUUUCAUAACUAUUGUAUUGGUGCAUUUGGUUCCUAAGCCAUCCUCUCAAGCUCCCACUUCGAUAGUUGUGAUCCUUGGGUCUGCGAAGCCAGGUUUGCAGAAGAAAUUGGGGGGCUCAAGUCUGCAAUCAAGGGAGCCUACAUGGUGGUCUCUGUUGUUUGAAGGCAAGGUGCUCGGGAAUGAGCCACUGGCUAAAUCGUUUGGUGAUCUCAAGGAUAAUUUAUCCGGGUUUCUUUGUUUAGGUGGUGCUGUAGAAAUAGCAAUGUCGAUGCUACUGUCAAUUGUUUUGUUCAGUUCCUACAAGAAGCAUCUUUCCAUGGAGCUUAAAUACCUUUUCCAAUACAUAGUUAAUCAACCGACGAAAGGAUUGGGUAUUGAGCUUCUUGUACUUGAGUUACCAAUUUUCGUAAGGGUCAUACUUAUUGGACCAUGGCACACCCUGCCAAUGCAGGUUGCUUCCAUGACCAUACUUCAAAUAGGGCUAGACAGUUCCCGAGUUCAGUCCAACCGAAACACUGCAUUUAUCUUUCUCGAUGAGUAUGGCAGAAUCCAACAUCCAUUCAACCCUAAAUUGGGGCUCCAUGGCUACCAACCGAUGGAGCAAGAAUGGAGACCACCCUCUCCUCCUCCAAUUUGGAGCUCCACGGCCGCCAUUCAACAGGCGCUGCCGUCGUUGCCUCCUCACCGCCUCACCUGGGAGAGCACAGGCGCCAACAUCACCCACGACCCGCCACAUGUUCGGUCAACAAGCUGUAGUUCAAUUAGGUCUGUUGCUCCUCUUACAUGCAGAGCCUGGGGAGAUCAUGGUCUUCUCUCAUUCUCUUGUGAAUAA